rnacentral:tRNA from 1 species
GAGGUUGUGGCUCAGUGGUAGAGCGCUCACCUAGCACGUUUGAGGCCCUGGGUUCGAUCCUCAGCACCACA